UCAAAAUUUUGUUAACCCAAUCCCUUUCUCUUCGGUGCCACGCCCCGCCAUAAAUAAUGACCGCUCCCUAAAGUGAGUCGUCAAUAAAAUGUCCGGUAAAUUUCAUAUUUUAAUAUUUUCCAGUUUUCCUGUAAUUUACAUUUUCGGCCGUUUCGUUUCGGUCGUUUCGUUUCGACGUUUUGCCUUUUAGUACAUGCCUGGCAGAACAAAUCGCUGCGAGGAAGAUGCAUCAGUUUCCUCUAUUGAAUAGAAUCCAUCCUGUACCAUGAGGGUGGGUUAAUUUAUUUUUUCGUUUAUGUUUUUGCUUUUAUUCUCCGGUAUCUGUCGCGAAAUCUUGCGAAAUUUCGCUUUUGUGAAGUGGAAGCACCACAUGAAUUCUUUCUGGGCGCCAUAUUUUUGAUACUCGUGUUGUUUGCAAACUGUGUCUCCGAAUAUUCUCGUUUUUAUGAUCAGAAAUUCUGUAACAACCAAAGUGUUAUAAAGAUUUAAUAAAGAACGACUCGAGGGAACAGUUGGGUGAUAUUUUUAUCGAUAUUUGACCGUAUGGGGAAAAGAUCAAAAGCUGAAACCAUGUCUAGGAAAUGCGAGGUUUCUAACAAUUGGUAUUUUCUACGAUAGGAAAUUUGGUGAGACAUGCAUAAAACUAAAAGAACACACACUGGAGACAAACCUUAUGAAUGUGAUGUUUGCAAUAAAAGAUUUUCAAAGUCAAGCUCAUUAACUAGACAUGAAAGAACACACACUUAUUGUCACACCGGAGACAAAGCUUAUGAAUGCGAUGUUUGCAAAAAAAGAUUUUCACAAUCGAGCAACUUAGCUACCCAUAAAAAAACACAUACUGGAGAUAAACCUUAUGAAUGUGAUGUUUGUAAGAAGACAUUUUCAUGCUCGGGCAACUUAACUGUACAUAAAAGAACACACACUGGAGAGAAACCUUAUGAAUGUGAUGUUUGCAGCAAAAGAUUUUCAAAGUCAGGUCAUUUAACUGUACAUACGAGAACACAUACUGGAGAAAAACCUUAUGAAUGUGAUGUUUGCAACAAACGAUUUUUGCACUCAAGUCACCUAGC